ACGAACGCUGGCGGCGUGCUUAACACAUGCAAGUCGAACGGAAAGGCUCCAGCUUGCUGGGGUACUCGAGUGGCGAACGGGUGAGUAACACGUGGGUAAUCUGCCCUGCACUCUGGGAUAAGCCUGGGAAACUGGGUCUAAUACUGGAUAUGACCUUUCUCCUUAUGGGGUUUGGUGGAAAGUUUUUCGGUGUAGGAUGAGCCCGCGGCCUAUCAGCUUGUUGGUGGGGUGAUGGCCUACCAAGGCGACGACGGGUAGCCGGCCUGAGAGGGUGAUCGGCCACAUUGGGACUGAGAUACGGCCCAGACUCCUACGGGAGGCAGCAGUGGGGAAUAUUGCACAAUGGGCGGAAGCCUGAUGCAGCGACGCCGCGUGAGGGAUGACGGCCUUCGGGUUGUAAACCUCUUUCAGCAGGGACGAAGCGUAAGUGACGGUACCUGCAGAAGAAGCACCGGCUAACUAUGUG
rnacentral:rRNA from 1 species